rnacentral:lncRNA from 1 species
UUUUAUAUAUUUUUUGGUAUAAACUUAUGUUUGAUUUUGGGUACACCUUCUAUUUUUUUUUAUAACUAAAAAUUAUAAAUUUUGUUUCAUUUUAAUUUGACCGGACUAAUAAUGGGCUGUUUUGAUGGGCUUUGAAGAAUUGAUGUUGUCCUUACUCCUGCCUGAGCACUCCUCCACGACAAAUCUCUGAUCUCGCAGCAAACCACUCCUCUUCCACCGUGAUCGGAAACGAAUCCCCCACUCUCUCCGUGGUCGUCGAUUGUCGCUUUUUCUUGGACAACCACCGAUAGCUUUAAUUUUUUUGAACGAUUCUAAACGAAGGAGCGAGCAUCAUCUUCCGUCACUAACAUCUUCGAAUUCAAAGAUUUCCUUUUUUCUUUUUUAGUCUUUCUCUGUUAUUUUGUUUUUUCACUUAGCAACCGAUUGUUUUCCUUUCUUUUUUUUACUCUUUCCGGAAGCUUUGUGUAGAUCCUUUCGUCUUCUCUGUAUCUCUCUUAUUAAG